GAUGAACGCUGGCGGCGUGCCUAAUACAUGCAAGUCGAGCGAACGGACGAGAAGCUUGCUUCUCUGAUGUUAGCGGCGGACGGGUGAGUAACACGUGGAUAACCUACCUAUAAGACUGGGAUAACUUCGGGAAACCGUAGCUAAUACCGGAUAAUAUUUUGAACCGCAUGGUUCAAAAGUGAAAGACGGUCUUGCUGUCACUUAUAGAUGGAUCCGCGCUGCAUUAGCUAGUUGGUAAGGUAACGGCUUACCAAGGCAACGAUGCAUAGCCGACCUGAGAGGGUGAUCGGCCACACUGGAACUGAGACACGGUCCAGACUCCUACGGGAGGCAGCAGUAGGGAAUCUUCCGCAAAGGGCGAAAGCCUGACGGAGCAACGCCGCGUGAGUGAUGAAGGUCUUCGGAUCGUAAAACUCUGUUAUUAGGGAAGAACAUAUGUGUAAGUAGCUGUGCACAUCUUGACGGUACCUAAUCAGAAAGCCACGGCUAACUACGUG
rnacentral:rRNA from 1 species